rnacentral:lncRNA from 1 species
UCUCUCUCUCUCUCUCUCGCCGCCCGCCGCUCUCCCUGUAUAUAUGUUGAUUGUAGGAAAGGGAAAAAAUUAAAGAAAAGACAGGCAACGACGGUCAGGGGAAAAAAUUGCUGCACAAUGGAAACUAAUAAAAGAGAAAGAACUGCUAGCUAUCUAGCUGCACACAAUGACAUAAUAGCAAAUGAGAUUGCCUACCUCUCUAUCCCUAGGAGUAGCAGGAGAGUGGCGGUGACGUCCUCUGUUGAGAGGAAUUCCACGAGAGCUUGGGUGAGAGCUGAAAUCUCUUGAUCCCUCUCUUUCUCUACGUGUGAAUUGAACUCAACCAAACUAGUUGUAGGUCUUUUGCGGGCAGUAGUUGGUGGGCGAUUGGCGAUGGAGCUGGUGUGGAUGUCCCCCGUCUCUCUCUCUCUCUCUGCCAUUUAUAGCCUCCACGAGCAGCCAUCCGUGAUAAUGCGCUGACCUGGCACCCCUUGGUUAUUUUUGACCCGGCGUUAGCUCGCGAGCUACCUU